rnacentral:rRNA from 1 species
UACGUACCGUACGAACGUUAUUCGGAAUUACUGGGCUUAAAGGGUUUGUAGGCGGCCUUGUAAGUCAGGUGUGAAAUCCCCCGGCUCAACCGGGGAACGGCCGGGCAUACUGGCGGUCUUGGGCCAGCUAGGGGUCAUCGGAACAAACGGUGGAGCGGUGAAAUGCGUAGAUAUCGUUUGGAACGCCGACGGUGAAAACAGAUGACUGGGGCUGUGCCGACGCUGAGACACGAAAGCCAGGGGAGCAAACGGG